rnacentral:rRNA from 1 species
GAUCCUGGCUCAGGAUGAACGCUGGCGGCGUGCUUAACACAUGCAAGUCGAACGAAGCACUUAAGAUUGAUUCUUCGGAUGACGUCUUUUGUGACUUAGUGGCGGACGGGUGAGUAACGCGUGGGUAACCUGCCUCACACAGGGGGAUAACAGUUAGAAAUGACUGCUAAUACCGCAUAACCCGAUAGGAUCGCAUGAUCCAAGACGGAAAAGAUUUAUCGGUGUGAGAUGGACCCGCGU